rnacentral:rRNA from 1 species
CCCUUAGACGUUCUGGGCCGCACGCGCGCUACACUGACGGAGCCAGCGAGUAUAAACCUUGGCCGAGAGGUCUGGGAAAUCUUGUGAAACUCCGGCGUGCUGGGGAUAGAGCAUUGUAAUUAUUGCUCUUCAACGAGGAAUUCCUAGUAAGCGCAAGUCAUCAGCUUGCGUUGAUUACGUCCCUGCCCUUUGUACACACCGCCCGUCGCUACUACCGAUUGAAUGGCUUAGUGAGGCUUCCGGAUUGGUUUAGAGAAGGGGGCAACUCCAUCUUGGAACCGAGAAGCUAGUCAAACUUGGUCAUUUAGAGGAAGUAAAAGUCGUAACA